CCUGCCCCGCGGGGUCCCCGGGCCGGCCCCGCCGCCCCUGGCAGGAGCAGCCGGGGGAGCGGGCGAGCAGCGGCCCCGCCCGCAGCGGAAGGUCUGAAUUGCAAUAAGAUGCCUCUACCUACGUCUUCCAUCACAGCUGGCUGCCAACUCUCUUGAAAGGCUGUUUUCUAAACCAGUGUGAUGCCUCAGGUGCAGAAGAGAGAGACAAUAAUUAACAAUGUGGCCUACAGCAUCUUGGGGAACAAUUAAUUUUAGUGAAUGGACAAG